UUUUUUUUGAGGCGGCUGCUUGCUGAAGUUUGCGGCGGAUUUGGCACUUGAAAAUUCGGCGUUUUUCUUUCUUUGUGCUGCUAUUGUAAGUGCCAACAGAACGAAAUUUAUUUUGGUCGAUUGAUUGCGCGAAGAUUUCGUGUAAUGAGCCUGGAAGAGUUUGGUUGGAACCUGGACUGGCGUGAGCUGUGAUCAUCGUAGUAACCGGAUUGGCACAGGAAGGACCAGAUCCCACCAGGGCGGCAUGCAGGAAGCCAGGCACCGCCACUGACUCCGGGCGGCGUAUUCUGCAUGAGCACCUUGCAAUUGGUCCGGCGUGGCCAGCAUUACCAAGGAAAACCACAGGGGGAGUCACUCAGCAGUGUGGAAGAAUGGACAGAAGACGAGGUCUGGAACUGCUCCAAAGGUCAAACCUCCCACCUCCCAAUCAUGUAGCCCAUGUGACACAAGCAGGUGGCGCCUGUCCCAGAACCAACAGAGAGGUUUCUGCUGCUGGCUUAAAACUUUGCUUCAAUUUGUAAAACAAACAGAGAUGGUCAGGAGAAGAGCCCAAGCCAGCAGGGCGUGGGUGUGAAGGACAGAGGUCUGGGGGCUGACAGCAGUACGGCUCCCAUCUUGCCUGGCAUAGGACUUUGUGAAGAGGUUCUCGAAGCAUCCCAUGGUGGCAUACACAUCCUGGCACACGGACACACCCCAAGUUAAGGACGUCCCGACUUGUUUAAAGCAGCACAGCAAAAGGACAUUGGCAGUCUAGGAGAGGAAGCUCACUGCUUGUCUGGCUUGAAGGCUGGCAGUUCCAUCGCUGAGGAUGCUCUUGAAGACCGGCUUCAGAGUCUUGAAC